GUGAGGAAUAUUGGUCAAUGGGCGGGAGCCUGAACCAGCCAAGUCGCGUGAAGGAAGAAGGAUCUAUGGUUCGUAAACUUCUUUUGCAGGGGAAUAAAGUGCGGGACGUGUCCUGUUUUGUAUGUACCCUGAGAAUAAGGAUCGGCUAACUCCGUGCCAGCAGCCGCGGUAAUACGGAGGAUCCGAGCGUUAUCCGGAUUUAUUGGGUUUAAAGGGUGCGUAGGUGGUUUGAUAAGUCAGCGGUGAAAGUUUGCAGCUUAACUGUAAAAAUGCCGUUGAAACUGUAGGACUUGAGAGUAAAUGAGGUAGGCGGAAGGCGUGAUGUAGCGGUGAAAUGCGUAGAUAUCACGCAGAACUCCGAUUGCGAAGGCAGCUUACUAAGCUACAACUGACACUGAAGCACGAGAGCGUGGGGAUCAAACAGGAUUAGAAACCCCGGUAGUCC
rnacentral:rRNA from 1 species